GCUGUGGGAAGAUCCCGCCUGUGCUCCCCUCCUGGGUCCUGAUCCUCUCAGGUCCAGCACAAACCCACCUACCGAAGCGAGUCUGGGGUAGCAGAGAUGCUGAAGGCUUUCAUGAGGACAGAUGAACGUAAAAGGAAUUCUCUCGCUUGGACACAUAGAGGAGAGCAGAAACAGAUCAGUUCCAGCCACCAGUAAUGUUUUCUGUUCCCAGACUUCAUUUCAGCAUCGGUACGCCUGCUUUUGAACUCUCCAGAGGCCCGGGUACGUGCCGACAGCCCGAAAGCCCGUACUGAUGCCGGUGCUACGGGUCAGCGCUGAGCGGGAGCCCGCGGCUGCAGGGAGCUCAGCACCGAGCAGCUGCCUCCGCGCUUGCAUUUCGGACAGGCUUUGCGACCGGACUCUAAUGCCAGAGCCACUUGCCACCCAACUUACUCACUACUCAGGGCAUAUAAAAGCUUUCACGGUGAAAACUUUCACUUUUUGCAGUAUAAAAGCUGUGGCUCUGGGUGUCUGCAGGGGAGGUGGGAUACCUGCUGGGAUUUCCCUAGCUGGGCUGGAAAAUCUGUGUCCGCGCUUCGGAAGCGCGGAUGCCCGUCACUUCUGUCGAGGAACUUUGCUGCGGGUUUAGGGGUACGGCUUUGGGCUCACGCGGCAGAGCGUUUUGGCUGCGGCGCUGGCUGCCCCGUCGGACCGGCUGCAGCCGACGGACCCUCCCCGUGCGCCUUCGAGGUCUUGGGCGAGGGGUAGCGAAGGAAAACGUGUCCA